rnacentral:rRNA from 1 species
GGAUUAGGCAUGCAAGUCGCACGAGAAAGGCUUCUUCGGAAGCCGAGUAAAGUGGCGAACGGGUGAGUAGUUCAUAGACAACUCUCCCUUGAGAUGGGGACAACGCCUCGAAAGGGGUGCUAAUACCCAAUGCCGCCUUGGGCCUGCGGGUCCGGGGUGAAAGGAGGCCUCUGAUUCAAGCUUCCGCUCAAGGAGAGGUUUAUGCCCUAUUAGCUAGUUGGCGGGGUAACGGCCCAUCAAGGCUGCGAUGGGUAGCCGACCUGAGAGGGUGACCGGCCACAUUGGGACUGAGAUACUGCCCAGACUCCUACGGGAGGCUGCAGUCGAGAAUCUUCCGCAAUGCGCGCAAGCGUGACGGAGCGACGCCGCGUGGGCGAUGAAGGCCUUCGGGUUGUAAAACCCUGUCAGCUACUACGAAACACGGGCGAUGAACAAUCGUCCCGUCUGACUUAAGUAGCAGAGGAAGCACCGGCUAACUACGUGCCAGCAGCCGCGGUAAUACGUAGGGUGCGAACGUUGUUCGGAAUCACUGGGCAUAAAGGGCGCGUAGGCGGUCUGAUAAGUCAGGUGCGAAAUCCCUCGGCCUAACCGAGGAACUGCAUUUGAUACUGUCAGGCUAGAGUACAGGAGGGGAGAGUGGAAUUCCUGGUGGAGCGGUGAAAUGCGUAGAUAUCAGGAGGAACGCCGGCGGCGAAAGCGACUCUCUGGCCUGUUACUGACGCUGAGGCGCGAAAGCUAGGGGAGCAAACGGGAUUAGAUACCCCGGUAGUCCUAGCCCUAAACGAUGGGCACUAAGUAGAGGGGUUUU